AGAGUUUGAUCCUGGCUCAGAUUGAACGCUGGCGGCAUGCCUUACACAUGCAAGUCGAACGGCAGCACGGGGGCAACCCUGGUGGCGAGUGGCGAACGGGUGAGUAAUACAUCGGAACGUGUCCUGUAGUGGGGGAUAGCCCGGCGAAAGCCGGAUUAAUACCGCAUACGCUCUACGGAGGAAAGGGGGGGGAUCUUAGGACCUCCCGCUACAGGGGCGGCCGAUGGCAGAUUAGCUAGUUGGUGGGGUAAAGGCCUACCAAGGCGACGAUCUGUAGCUGGUCUGAGAGGACGACCAGCCACACUGGGACUGAGACACGGCCCAGACUCCUACGGGAGGCAGCAGUGGGGAAUUUUGGACAAUGGGGGCAACCCUGAUCCAGCAAUGCCGCGUGUGUGAAGAAGGCCUUCGGGUUGUAAAGCACUUUUGUCCGGAAAGAAAACGCCGUGGUUAAUACCCGUGGCGGAUGACGGUACCGAAGAAU
rnacentral:rRNA from 1 species